rnacentral:rRNA from 1 species
AUGGUGGAUAUUUUAGCAGUUCAGCUGUCCAAAAGAGAAAAUGAGUUGCUUCAGCAGAAAACCGAGGUCACGAGAAUAGCGACUUCACUCAAACUGGCUUCUGAAGAUGCUAGGAGAAUUGUUGAGGAAGAACGAACUAAUGCACGCAUGGAGAUUGAAAAUGCUAGAGCUGCUGUACAAAGAGUUCAAAAAGUACUUCAAGAGAAAGAGAACAUUCACAAAGAAUUGGAAAGCAGGUAA